GGCUAGGGGUUGAAUCGGAGCUGUAGCCACUGGCCUAUACCAGAGCCACAGCAACGCGGGAUCCCAGCCGCGUCUGCAACCUACACCACAGCUCACGGCAACGCCAGAUCGUUAACCCACUGAGCAAGGACAGGGACCGAACCCGCAACCUCAUGGUUCCUAGUCGGAUUCGUUAACCACUGCGCCACGACGGGAACUCCAUCCUGGUUUAACUUUAAAGUCCUAUUUUUUUUUUUUGGCUAUAAUGCCUUUAAUGGAGGGUGGUACAAAAUGCAUCAAUGCAAAAGAAUGUUUUAUGUACUCAUUAGCAUAGUGAUUAAUGUAAAUUAGAGAUACACAAUGUGUUAAACCUUAAAAUCUACAAAGUUUCCUGCAACCUAAAAUAAUGUAAAAGAUUCCUUAAGUUUUUACCCACCACCUUUAAAGUUCUAAAUGGUAUCUGGGGGAACUGAAAAUGUAUGUGUAGUAUGUUAUUUAGAAGAAUUUACAAGUUUCUGUUGACUUUGUUGAUUGAGCAUGACUACUAAAAAUUAUGUAAUGAAAUUGAAUACAGAAACUUCCAUAAUUUAGCUCAUGCAAUGUUUUUUAACCCUCUUUAGAAAGGAGCUGCAUGUAGAAUGAGAUCACAUGCUUGCAAGAUAGCAAAUACCCUUUUUAUAUUUGAAAUGUUUGCUUUAGGAAUUAAUAGAAGGCAUAUUUUUCUAAUUUUAUGACUAAAUUUAGAAUGAACUGAAUGAUUAUUUUUAAGCCAUCGUAAAGUCUCCGAGUGGUAAAGUAGUGUUGCUUUCUAAGCUAUCACAGUUGACUUUAUUCUUCUACUCUGAAAAAAUCUUGACUUGUUUGAGUGUAUAUAAUAUAUAUAAAGGGAGCCUUAAUGGAUUUGUUUUCAUAAUUUAAUAUUUUUUGUAUUUGCUCUUGUAUAAUUGUUUUUAACGGAAAGUAUUACAGAAUUGAGGGUGGAAUUCUUAGAACCAAAGUUAUUCUUAAUAAAAAUCACCACAUGCUUGGAAAAAAAAAAAAACAAAAAACAAAAAACUGCACUCUAGUGGAGGGCAGUUCCAACCAUUGCAAAGUUUCUGUACUUUUGGCCCAGAAGGGUCACUUGGGGAAUGGCGGGGGAGUGACCCAAGCAUGUUAUCACUGGGGAAACUCCAAGGUCUCUGGCGACCACCUGGACACAGGGGAAGUCACAGGUGAAGGUUUCCUCAGGCACCAUCAGUCUUUAUUUCUGUUGCCAGCAGCCUUGCAUCCCGGGCCUGUGCACACCGUGUGGCUGAAAUGGCUCCUGCCUCUGCUUAUCUCACUUCUACUUGUGGAUUUUCUUCAAAUACUUCUGCUCAUUGGCCGCUUUCUGGUCUCCCUGGUGGCGAUUAUGUUGCCUUUUUGUGUAAUGCCAGAGCCCUAUGCACCUUUAGGAUACUAAUCACUGUUUGCAAUGAUAUAUUUAUUCUGGGGAUUAUUUGUGUCCCCCACUUAAUAAGGGCAAGUAAGUGCUUGUAUUUACUAUGUAUUGUAUUUCCAAUGCCUAACACCUUUCUCACCUGCUGCAUAGUAUGGUACUAAUUCUUGUUAAAUAUAUGACUGAACAUCAGGACUGACACUUUGUAUAGACUUGUACAGCCAUUAGAAAUCUCUAGGUGAGGAGUUCCCGUCAUGGCUCCGUGGUAAUGAACCUAACCAGUAUCCAUGAGGAUGCAGGUUUGAUCCCUGGCCUUGCUCAGCAGGUGAAGGAUCUGGCGUUGCAGUGAGUUGUAGUGUAGGCUGCAGAUGAGGCUCACACCUGGCAUUGCUGUGGCUAUGGCAUAGUCUGGCAGCCGUAGCUCUGAUUCAACCCCUAGCCUGGGAACUUCCAUAUGCCUCAGGUGCAGCCCUAAAAAGACCAAAAAAAAAAAAAAAAGAGAGAGAGAAAUCUCUAGGUGAGACUGCACUGACAUACAAGUGAACAAGGUAUAGCCUGUCAUAAAAAUUAUCUUCACUGUCUCCAAAUGGCAAUGCCCACCAAGUAAACUAUCUCAAGGACUCUUUAAAUAUUUCAGACAGACACAAAGCAGGGCAACCUUGAUUUCCUAGUAUAGGUUAUAUUUUACCAGAAUAAAAAAAACUGACCCUUUAUCAACCAAAUAGGUGGAUAAGUAGGCACAUUAUAGGGAAGCAGAGGAACUCAGGAAAUAAGAGUAACAAAGCUUCCUUUCCUUCCUAAUUUUUUUUUUGGGGGGGGGGGCUUUUUAGGGCUUCACCCAUGGCAUUUGGAGGUUCCCAGGCCAGAGGUCUAAUUGGAGCUGUAGCCACUGGCCUACACCACAGCCAUAGCAAUGCCAGAUCAGAGCUGCAUCUGCAAACUAUACCAUAUCUCACGGCAACACUGAAUCCUUAACUCACUGAGCAAGGCUAGGAAUCAAACCCGCAUCCUCAUGGAUGUUAGUCCCGCUGAGCCAUGAUGGGAACUCCCCUAAAAUAUUUUAACACUCAGUCCUAUCAACCCACCUUGACUUAAAAUAUAAGGUUUGCUGCUCUUCUUUCUUCUCUGACUAGGUUUUUCGAGAGGCAAGGAUGUACAGUAUUCUGCAAAGAAUUGGUUCCAAUUUCCCUCUUGCCACCAGUUAGCAAAAUCUGAGGAUGCUCAAGUCCCUUAUUUAAAAUGACAGUAGUGGCACAAAUGAACCUUUCCACAGAAAAGAAACUCAUGGACUUGGAGAACAGACUUGUGGUUGCUGAGGGGGAGGGGGAGGGAGUGAGAUGGACUGGGAGUCUGGGGUUAAUAGAUGCAAACUAUUGCUUUUGAAUAGAUAAGCAAUGAGAUCCUGCUGUAUAGCACUGGGAACUGUGUCUAGUCACUUAUGAUGGAGGAUAAUGUGAGAAAAAGAAUGUAUAUAUGUACGUGUGACUGGAUCAGCUUGCUGUACAGUAGAAAAUUGACAGAACACUAUAAACCAGCUAUGAUGGAAAAAAUAAAAAUAAAUGACAGUAUUUGUAUAUACCUAUGGCACAUCCUCCCAUUUAUUUUUUUAUUUUUUUAAUGAUUGCACCUGUAACACAUGGAAAUGCCCAGGCCAGGGGUUCAAUCCAAGCUGCGGCUGCUUCAACGCCGGAUCCUUUAACCCAUUGCACAGGGUUGGGAGUUGAACCUGUGCCUCCACAGGGACCUGAGCUGAUGCAGUAGGAUUCUUAACCCAUUGUGCCACAGCAGGAACUCCCCGUUUAUUAUUUAUUUAUUUAUUUAUGGCAGCACCUGUGGCAUCGUUACCCAGCCAGGGAUCAAAGCUUUAUCAUAGCAAUGAUCCAAGCCAUUGCAGUGACAACGCAGGAUCCUUAACCUGCUGGGCCACAAAGGGAACUCCUCCCCAUUUAGUUUAAAUCACCUCUAGAUACGUAAUACAAUGUAAAUGUAAUGUCAAUAGUUGAACUUCUUGGACUUUUUUUUUCUCCUAAUAUUUUCAAGCUCAGGUUUGGUUGAAUCUACCCCUGGGUGCGGAACCAGAGGAUACGGAGGUCCGGCUGUACUCCUGAGCAAAGGACAUGAAGCAAGGAGUGUGGAGGAAGGCAUUCCCGAGGUGGCGUCUUCUCACUGAAUGUCCAGUUUAAACAGAGCAGUUCUGUGGUCCCCAAGGAGAAGACAUUUCUUGUCCAGAUUCAUGGCAUAUUUCCAUAUGUGUAGUUCUUCUGUGUAUUUCCCUACCACUGGCAGUCAGUAAAAAUCUUAAUGCUUUUUUUCCUGCCUUGGUCGAGUCUGUAAUCUAAGGUCAGAGAACUAACAGUCUUUUUGGUUGUUGUCUAGAGAGACCCCUCCCUGCAGGGAGAUUGUUAUUUUGUAUUAAUCUCUUUCUUCUUUAAAGACACUUCUUUACAGAUUCCUCUCCCCUGAAAACCUAUGACGUGUACAUUAUCAUCACCCCUAUUUUUACAGGUGAGAAACUGAGUCCUUGUAAGGCUAAGGAACAUGCCCAAGGCCACAAGGUAGCAAGUGGCAGGGCUGAUUAGUAAGCCCACACUUUUUCCACACAGACUACCUGUAAUAAUUGCUGUAAUAAAGGUUCAGACCAGUAAUUUGCUUAAAUGUAUAAUGCACAGGAUAAUUCUUAGAAAAUUAUAAUGUGUUUAGUUAUCCUGACCAUCAUCUCUCCCUACCUCUCCACUUCCAAGAGGUUAGACCUGUCCAGGGAGUAUAAAAUGUGAUCUCUUUUACAAGUGCAUCCAAUGCAAAUAACUAAGAAAUAUCAGUGGCUUGUAGUAGCCUCAGAACACAGGCUUUUACUUUGAUUUGCUUUUUUAAAAACUGAGAUAUAAGUCACAUACUAUAAUAUUCACUUUUUAAACCAUACAAUUCAGUGGUAUUUAGUAUAUUCACGUUUGAGCAACCAUUACCAUUAUCUAAUUCAAGAAUAUUUUUAUACUUUGAUACUUUUGAAGGCUCUUUUCUUACAGGUAUGAGAACUGGGUCUGUCCAGCGAGAACUCCAAGAACUCCAAGAAAGAUCUAGAGACCUUGAGACAAAACUGGAGCCAGCUGGAGUUCCCUCGCGGCUCAGUGGGUUAAGGAUCUGGCGUUGUCACUGCUGUGGCUCUGGUUACAGCUGCGGCACAGCUGGCCCUAGAACUUCUGUAUGCUGCUGAUGCAGCAAAACAAAAACAAAAACAAAAAAAGGUGCCAGCAAAUGCAAGCUGCUACUGUAGUGUUUAAAAAGGAGUUGUAGGAGUUCCCGUCGUGGCACAGUGGUUAAUGAAUCCGACUAGGAACCAUGAGGUUGCGGGUUUGGUCCCUGCCCUUGCUCAGUGGGUUAACGAUCCAGCAUACAGCUGUGGUGUAGGAUCCAGCGUUUCUGUGGCUCUGGCGUAGGCUGGUGGCUGCAGCUCCAAUUCGACCCCUAGCCUGGGAA
rnacentral:lncRNA from 1 species